CCUGAGUGACAUUAAGAACUGUCGCAGUGGAGGCUGAGACCAAUUUUAAUGCUAACAUUCAUGGCUGUAGUAACGACUAUCCUUUCAUGCACCCAGAAGAAUCACUUGUUGAUUGCAGCAACCAUCACCAUGAAGCAGCAGUAGCAUGAUGUAAUGCAGGCUGGGACGGGUGGAGAGCUUCCCUGGAUUAUACAGGUUUUGGCUGCAUUAACAGGCAGAAGCGACACAGCACGUUCUGGACACCCAGCUUCUCAUAGAAUUUGUGGAGUUCAUCAUUCUUAGAGAAGGAGCAAUCUGAGUUCUGGUUCCAGCACCAAGCCAAAGUGAGUCAAGAGACUGAGGACUGUGUUGCAGACCCGCCAAGAGCCUGUUUGCAUCUGGAUUGAAUUACCUCCGGAAGAAGAAUUUAUCCCACAGGAAGAGAGGGGGGGCCCUCGAGUGUAUCCUAGACGAGUACUCGCGUCAGGAGGAGGAUGACUUCUGAAGACAGCAGCGUCUGUCCCUGGGCUCCGCUUGCCUACCCUGGCCUUUGCCUGAGGCCAUGGGGUGGCAGCAAGACAGAGGGGCCUGGAUCAGGGUGUGACAUCCGCCAGCAGCGGAAGAUUUUGCCAGCGCUGGUGGCACUGUUCCUCUGGGUGUUAGUGGCUGCGUCUGAGCUGGCGGCUGCAGCACGGCAGGGAGGGCCAGCAUCAACAGCCAGUGCCAUCAUGGCGCUGGGCGGAUUCUGGGGCCGUAACCAUGGAGCCAGGACAGAGCAGGGAUAGUGGAGAAAAUGUUGGCUAUGACACAGCAGCUAAUAGUGCUAUGAGCGUGGGACACACACCUGCAAAUUCUUGGGUAUAAUUAGGGGACUUUGUCAGGUCCCAGGGGGACCAAACAGUGAGUAGUGUUGCAAAAGACUGUUAGGGAUGCAGCAUAGACCAUAGAAACAGACUGUGUGGGUUUAAAUCCUGCCUCCGCUGCUCGUCAGCUAUGUCCACAACCUCAUCUCUACUUCCUCGUUAGUGGCAUUUACCUACCUCAAGUUGUUAUGAGGGAGGAUGAAAUAGUCUUUUUCUCUGUACAGGAGACUUUGACAAUUUUGCCUCAUUAGGACUAAAGCCAAAUGUGCUAGUUAAUCAGAAUAUGAAAUUUUAGCGAUCAAUAUUCCUUCAGAAGCAUUCUUUUUUUCCCUCAGGCUGUUUUACUUAAAUUUACUUUAAUUUGGGCUUUGCUAAGACUUUGAUUGUAAGCUGGAUCUGAAACAGAGGCUUUGUUUCACCAACACCUUUUACUCCUGUCUCUUCUUCAACACGUCCUUUGCUUCUCACUGAGUGUUGGGACUUUGAAAGGAAAAGAAGUGAAAUAAGCUAAUGGCCUAACGACGCCCCAGGUUCCAAAUUGGGAGCGGCGUGAGAACAAGAUCCACAAAUGAGUCAUCACUGUGUUCCCUCCAACACUGAGCACCAAGCCUUGCACUUAGGAGGUGUGCUGGAUUAUCAGGAGUUACCUCAGUAUCACUGCCACCCCGUUAAGGUCACCCCGCUGAGAACUAUGGUUCCCAGAAUCCUGUUGCAGUGUGAGCCAUCUGCACAAAUGUUCGAAGAGAAGGGGCUGUUGUUUUCCGGAGGCGGUUGCAAGCAGAUGUUUGACGCAGCUUCCAGGUGAGCUCCCAGAGAAGAACGUUUGCCCUGAGUUAAUCCUGCAGGCUGAGGGAUUGGACGGAGCCUCCCACAGUUGCUUAAUAUGCAAGGAGUCUUGUGUGCCAGCUCUGGAGAAACUUUGACGCUAUCACUGACAGCCUCACAGACCUUGGAUUCUCCCACCCUUCCAACCAUUGUGUAAUCUUCUAAUUCCCUGCAUUAAAAAUAUUCAUACUUGAAAUAUAUUGAGUGCUGUCUGUUUUCAUGUCCAAACCCUGAACUAAUUGUUUAAUAAAUAUUUGCAGAAUGAAUGAAAAGGAAUUCUACUGGAUUGAAAAAUCAGGAGACAUUCCAUUUAUAUUUAUUGUUCAAAGCAAAAGAAAGUCACAUCUGUUGUGAGUUGAUUAUGUGGCAGGCAAUUUCCUGUGCAUUAUUUACCACCUCUCUAUAAUUCUGACAGAUGA
ensembl:lncRNA